GGGCCCGCACAAGCGGUGGAGCAUGUGGUUUAAUUCGAUGAUACGCGAGGAACCUUACCAGGGCUUAAAUGCAGAACGACAGAGGUGGAAACACCUCCUUCUUCGGACGGUCUGCAAGGUGCUGCAUGGUUGUCGUCAGCUCGUGCUGUGAAGUGUCGGGUUAAGUCCUAUAACGAGCGCAACCCACGUCUUUAGUUGCCAGCAUUUAGUUGGGCACUCUAGAGAGACCGCCGGUGAUAAACCGGAGGAAGGUGUGGAUGACGUCAAGUCAUCAUGCCCCUUACAUCCUGGGCUACACACGUACUACAAUGCUACGGACAAAGGGCAGCAAACUCGCGAGAGCUAG
rnacentral:rRNA from 1 species